rnacentral:rRNA from 1 species
CAUAUCAAUAAGCGGAGGAAAAGAAACUAACAAGGAUUCCCCUAGUAACUGCGAGUGAAGCGGGAAAAGCUCAAAUUUAAAAUCUGGCAGUCUAUGGCUGUCCGAGUUGUAAUCUAGAGAAGUGUUAUCCGCGUUGGACCGUGUACAAGUCUCCUGGAAUGGAGCAUCAUAGAGGGUGAGAAUCCCGUCUUUGACACGGACUGCCAGGGCUUUGUGAUGCGCUCUCAAAGAGUCGAGUUGUUUGGGAAUGCAGCUCAAAAUGGGUGGUAAAUUCCAUCUAAAGCUAAAUAUUGGCGAGAGACCGAUAGCGAACAAGUACCGUGAGGGAAAGAUGAAAAGAACUUUGGAAAGAGAGUUAAACAGUACGUGAAAUUGCUGAAAGGGAAACGCUUGAAGUCAGUCACGUUGGCCAGGGAUCAACCUUGCUUUUGCUUGGUGUAUUUUCUGGUUGACGGGUCAGCAUCAAUUUUGAUCAUUGGAAAAAGGUCAAGGGAAUGUGGCAUCUUUGGAUGUGUUAUAGCCCUUGGUUGCAUACAAUGGUUGGGAUUGAGGAACUCAGCACGCCGUAAGGCCGGGUUUUUAACCACGUACGUGCUUAGGAUGCUGGCAUAAUGGCUUUAAUCGACCCGUCUUGAAACACGGACCAAGGAGUCUAACAUGCCUGCGAGUGUUUGGGUGGAAAACCCGAGCGCGCAAUGAAAGUGAAAGUUGAGAUCCCUGUCGUGGGGAGCAUCGACGCCCGGACCAGACCUUUUGUGACGGUUCCGCGGUAGAGCAUGUAUGUUGGGACCCGAAAGAUGGUGAACUAUGCCUGAAUAGGGUGAAGCCAGAGGAAACUCUGGUGGAGGCUCGUAGCGAUUCUGACGUGCAAAUCGAUCGUCAAAUUUGGGUAUAGGGGCGAAAGACUAAUCGAACCAUCUAGUAGCUGGUUCCUGCC